rnacentral:pre_miRNA from 1 species
UAUGUACUCCCUCCGUUCGGAAUUACUCGUCCAAUAAAUGAAUGUAUCUAGAUGUAUUUUAGUUGUAGAUACAUCCAUUUUUGUGACAAGUAAUUCCGAACGGAUGGAGUAGUAU